rnacentral:rRNA from 1 species
GCACAAGCAGUGGAGUAUGUGGUUUAAUUCGAAGCAACGCGAAGAACCUUACCAGGUCUUGACAUCCGAUGCAUAACACAGAGAUGUGUGAAAUCCUUCGGGACAUCGAGACAGGUGGUGCAUGGUUGUCGUCAGCUCGUGUCGUGAGAUGUUGGGUUAAGUCCCGCAACGAGCGCAACCCUUAUUGCCAGUUACUACGUUAAGAGGACUCUGGCGAGACUGCCGUUGACAAAA